AGCAGUGCUGGAGGGUGAUAUAUGAUGUGACAUUAAACGGAGCUGGAAAGUCCAAAAAAAUAUUACUGCUGGGACUGAAAGAGUUGCACUCUCAAGCCAUGUGGGGUAGGAACUGAUAAAUGAAAAAAAAAAAAGUAUUGAGCAGCCUAGCCUUAAAUAUGUCCUUACUGAAUUUACACUGUAAAUACUGCCCUUGGGGAAAAGAAAGAGCACCCAAGAAGGAGAGAAGUGAACUCUUAGCUGCCUUACCAUGGUGUAACCUGAACACAAGAGAGGGGAAAAAAGCAAAGCACAGAUGGUGGUGUUAGUUUGUUAAAUAAAGAAUCAGGUGAUUACCCAAGGAUAAUCACUCCUCCGGAAAACUGAUCCAGUGACACCGAGAUUGGGUGCCUGACGCGAGGGUGCUCAGGAAGGAAAACGUAACCGACUCCUCAGAGGGAGCUGAUAAAGCUUAAAAAAAUCUGCCCUGUGCAGGACAGAAACUAAAACCUCUGGAACAGCCCAGCUGCCCUGCAGUCUACAGACACAGUUUGCUCUCAUUCGAGGGGAGAGCAAAAAUUUGGUCUUAAAGAAUUUUUUAUUUUUAAAACUUGUGGGUUAAAUUCUUCCAAAGUGCUUUCCAGAUCUGAUAUCCACACCAGACUUCACUGGCUCCUUGUCACCUUCACUUGUGAUAAUGUGCUUGGACAACAAACAGCCUCUUUUAAUGGAAUUCCCUGCAAAAUGCUCUUGGUUAAUGUUCAAUCUCCAACAAAAUUCACAAAUGCAUUUUGCUAUUUAAGACCCUAAACUUCUAUAUGCUUUUUUUUUUUUUUCCUGUUGUCAGUAGAAAGAAUAAGAACAGUUAAUAAAAAAUAUCUCAGGCUGUAAUUAUGCAACUUCUGAAGUUAAGAAAGUAAUUUUUGUGUAUGCUUACCUAGGUGGCAACUUCUUUUAAAACCUGAAGCUGUGACUCAAGGACUGUGAAAUAUUUUGAUCUAGAUAUUGAUCUCACCCUAAAAUUUUAAGGAAUGCUAAAUGCAUCCAUGUGGGAAAGAUUUUACAGUUCCCAUUCACGCAGUAGGCAGUCUGACAUUAAGAGGACUUGCUGUAUGUCAGCAUCUUAAAAGACACUCUCAUAUUUCAUGUACUGUCAAGAUGAAUGCUAGAUGAUUAAUAAUAUGA